UGGGGAAUAUUGGACAAUGGGCGAAAGCCUGAUCCAGCCAUGCCGCGUGUGUGAAGAAGGCCUUUUGGUUGUAAAGCACUUUAAGCGAGGAGGAGGCUACUUGGAUUAAUACUCUAGGAUAGUGGACGUUACUCGCAGAAUAAGCACCGGCUAACUCUGUGCCAGCAGCCGCGGUAAUACAGAGGGUGCGAGCGUUAAUCGGAUUUACUGGGCGUAAAGCGUGCGUAGGCGGCUUUUUAAGUCGGAUGUGAAAUCCCUGAGCUUAACUUAGGAAUUGCAUUCGAUACUGGGAAGCUAGAGUAUGGGAGAGGAUGGUAGAAUUCCAGGUGUAGCCGUGAAAUGCGUAGAGAUCUGGAGGAAUACCGAUGGCGAAGGCAGCCAUCUGGCCUAAUACUGACGCUGAGGUACGAAAGCAUGGGGAGCAAACAGG
rnacentral:rRNA from 1 species